rnacentral:rRNA from 1 species
CCUACGGGUGGCAGCAGUAGGGAAUCUUGCACAAUGGGCGCAAGCCUGAUGCAGCAACGCCGCGUGCCCGAUGAAGGCCUUCGGGUCGUAAAGGGCUUUUCUGAAGGACGAGUACGGACGGUACUUCAGGAACAAGGAUCGGCUAACUACGUGCCAGCAGCCGCGGUAAAACGUAGGAUCCGAGCGUUAUCCGAAUUCACUGGGCGUAAAGCGCGUGCAGGCGGCGGGCUAAGUUGGAUGUGAAAUCUCCCGGCUCAACUGGGAGGCGCCGUUCAAAACUGGCCGGCUCGAGGGCGGUAGAGGAAGGUGGAAUUCCCGGUGUAGUGGUGAAAUGCGUAGAGAUCGGGAGGAACACCCGUGGCGAAAGCGGCCUUCUGGACCGACCCUGACGCUCAGACGCGAAAGCUAGGGGAGCGAACGGGAUUAGAUACCCUUGUAGU